AGAAAGAAAGAAAGUAGCAUUUACAACUAAUUGAUCACAACCAAUUACAGAUGCCUUUGUUCCUUCUCCACUCCUACUACUUCACUUGACUAGCCUUUA
rnacentral:sRNA from 1 species